rnacentral:snoRNA from 1 species
GCGCGUUGAUGAAAGAACGUAUCCCUUAAACAUUCGCAGUGUUUUGCCGAUGGCGUCCUGGUUGCCACCUCGACUGCCGGGUGAGGCCCUUAUUUCCUUGGAUGUCUGAGCGC